AUUGAACGCUGGCGGCAGGCCUAACACAUGCAAGUCGAACGAGUGGCGGACGGGUGAGUAAUGUCUGGGAAACUGCCUGAUGGAGGGGGAUAACUACUGGAAACGGUAGCUAAUACCGCAUACCAUCGGAUGUGCCCCGAUGGGAUUAGCUUGUUGGUGGGGUAACGGCUCACCAAGGCGACGAUCCCUAGCUGGUCUGAGAGGAUUACCAGCCACACUGUAACGGAGACACGGUCCAGACUCCUACGUGAGUCAGCAGUGGGGAAUAUUGCACAAUGGGCGCAAGCCUGAUGCAGCCAUGCCGCGUGUAUGAAGAAGUCCUUCGGGUUGUAAAGUACUUUCAGCGGGGAGGCGUUACCCGCAGAAGAAGCGCCGGCUAACUACGUGCCAGCAGCCGCGGUAAUAC
rnacentral:rRNA from 1 species